GUUGACCAUAGAGAGUAUUCCAAACUGUCAUCUAAACUCAUUCCAGAUGGUACCAUAUCAAAGCUACCUUCUUUAAUUAAUCUUAGCAUUGUUGUGUUCCCAGGAGACCAUCGGUGGAACGACACAACAGAAUCUGUCAUAAAGGACGUGUGCAACCUGAAAAAUUUAACUUCCUUAAGAUUCUACUUUCCCAAGGUGCAACAACUUCAGGACUUUCUUCAAAUGAGUCACUCAUGGAAGCAUAAUCUAUUAAGGAACUUCAACUUCAUUGUUGGCUAUGACAUCAAGCGCAUGUUAUCGCGGGUUCCUUCUAAUGUGGAGUUAGAUUACAAUCAACAACAAAGGUGCCUGCGGCUUGUGAAUUACAAGAAAAUACCAGAAGAUGCCAUCGUGGAAGUACUAACUCGAACAACAGCGUUCUACCUUGAUCACCUCCUCAAGAUCCGCAGUCUAUCACAGUUUGGAGUUAAAAACAUAAUAGGAUUGGAAUUUUGCAUAGUUAGGGAAUGUCCCGAGAUUGAAUACAUCAUUGAUGGUAAAGAACUGGCAUUACCAUUUCUAGAACACCUGAGCCUCCAUUAUCUAGAGAAAUUGAAGGGGAUUUGGAAAGAACAAUUGCCAUUUGGAAGUUUCGCUAGUCUAAAAUGUUUGAGCAUUCACACAUGUUGGCAGUUGAAGUUUGUUUUCACAAGCUCUAUGAGUAGGCACUUCCCUAACUUGGAAGAGUUGGUUGUUGAAGAUUGUAAAGCCAUCACGGACAUCAUAUUUGUGGAGAACAACAUCGAGCUUAAUUAUGCUAUGCUUCCAAAGUUGAAAAAUAUGGCACUCAGAUAUUUGCCUAAUUUGGUCAGCAUUUGGAAAGGGCCCUGGCCAUCUUUGGAGCAUAUUGGCUUUUACCAUUGUCCAAAGCUGAAGAAACUAAGCAUGGGUUCUGUCUCCGAGUUCAGAUCAUCCAUCAAGAAGAUAGAAGCAGAGAAACAAUGGUGGGAUAUGUUAAAAUGGGAGGACUAUUCUUUGCGUGAUGAACUUCAGACUUGUUUCUUCCCUUUAACAGAAGAAGAAUUGUAAUGGUCAGCAAGAGCAUACAUUAUGCAAGCACUGUACAAAAAAAGAAACUUGUCUACGGUAUAUAUACAGUAUUAGAUUUCAUCUAUAUGGUGGAGUGCACUACACACCAGUGCAGGCA
rnacentral:misc_RNA from 1 species